UAAGGAAUAUUGGGCAAUGGGCGAAACCCUGAUCCAGCAAUGCCGCGUGAGUGAUGAAGGCCUUCGGGUUGUAAAGCUCUUUCAGGUGCGAAGAUAAUGACAGUAACACCAGAAGAAGCCCCGGCUAAAUUCGUGCCAGCAGCCGCGGUAAUAAUCACU
rnacentral:rRNA from 1 species